rnacentral:rRNA from 1 species
UACGAAGGGUGCAAGCGUUAUUCGGAAUGAUUGGGCGUAAAGGGUGCGUAGGCGGCAUGUUAAGUCAACUGUUAAGUCUUCAGCCUAACUGAGGGUAUGCAGUAGAUACUGGCAAGCUAGAGUAUGGAAGAGAGAAGUGGAAUUCUCGGAGUAGCGGUAAAUGCGUAGAUCUCGAGAGGAACACCGAUGGCGAAGGCGAGCUUCUUGGUCCAUUACGUGACGCUCAUGCACGAAAGCGUGGGGAGCAAACAGG